rnacentral:tRNA from 1 species
GGAAUGUAGCUCAGCGGCAGAGCCCUUGCCUCACAUGCUUGAGGGCUUGGGUUCGUUCAUUCCCAGUACCA